rnacentral:rRNA from 1 species
CCUACGGGUGGCAGUAGUCGAGAAUCAUUCACAAUGGGGGAAACCCUGAUGGUGCGACGCCGCGUGGGGGAAUGAAGGUCUUCGGAUUGUAAACCCCUGUCAUGUGGGAGCAAAUUAAAAAGAUAGUACCACAAGAGGAAGAGACGGCUAACUCUGUGCCAGCAGCCGCGGUAAUACAGAGGUCUCAAGCGUUGUUCGGAAUCACUGGGCGUAAGGCGUGCGUAGGCUGUUUCGUAAGUCGUGUGUGAAAGGCGCGGGCUCAACCCGCGGACGGCACAUGAUACUGCGAGACUAGAGUAAUGGAGGGGGAACCGGAAUUCUCGGUGUAGCAGUGAAAUGCGUAGAUAUCGAGAGGAACACUCGUGGCGAAGGCGGGUUCCUGGACAUUAACUGACGCUGAGGCACGAAGGCCAGGGGAGCGAAAGGGAUUAGAUACCCGUGUAGUC